UGCGUAGGCGGGCUAAUAAGUCAGUGGUGAAAUCUUCCGGCUCAACCGGGAACCUGCCAUUGAUACUGUUAGUCUUGAGUUCGGCUGAGGUAGGCGGAAUGUGUAAUGUAGCGGUGAAAUGCUUAGAUAUUACACAGAACACCAAUUGCGUAGGCAGCUUACUAGACCAACACUGACGCUGAGGCACGAAAGCGUGGGGAGCGAACAGGAUUAGAUACCCCUGGUAGUCC
rnacentral:rRNA from 1 species